AAUAAUUUAAUUUUGGAUGUAACGCGUCUUCUGAUUGGCUGACGUUAUUUUGUUAUCAGACAAUAGACAUAAUUUAGUCAUGUGACCGUGACGUCAUCAACGUUUUUUCGUGGUUUUCUACGGUUUAAAAUGGAAUUAAGCAUUAAAUUAUAAGAAAUGACUGUAAUAUUUUUUCUGUCUAUUCGAAAUAACAUAAAAAAUGUGGUGC
rnacentral:lncRNA from 1 species